rnacentral:rRNA from 1 species
GAUGAACGCUGGCGGCGUGCUUAACACAUGCAAGUCGAACGAGAAGUGAAGACGGAAACCUUCGGGCGGAAGGCUUUAUUUCGAGUGGCGGACGGGUGAGUAACGCGUGGGUAACCUGCCUCAUACAGGGGGAUAACAGUUGGAAACGACUGUUAAUACCGCAUAAGACCACAGCACCGCAUGGUGCGGGGGUAAAAACUCCGGUGGUAUGAGAUGGACCCGCGUUCGAUUAGCCAGUUGGCGGGGUAACGGCCCACCAAAGCGACGAUCGAUAGCCGAUCUGAGAGGAUGACCGGCCACAUUGGGACUGAGACACGGCCCAAACUCCUACGGGAGGCAGCAGUGGGGAAUAUUGCACAAUGGGGGAAGACCUGAUGCAGCGACGCCGCGUGAGUGAAGAAGUAUUUCGGUAUGUAAAGCUCUAUCAGCAGGGAAGAAAAUGACGGUACCUGAGUAAGAAGCCCCGGCUAACUACGUG